rnacentral:rRNA from 1 species
CCUACGGGAGGCAGCAGUGAGGAAUAUUGGUCAAUGGACGAGAGUCUGAACCAGCCAAGUAGCGUGAAGGAUGACUGCCCUAUGGGUUGUAAACUUCUUUUAUAUGGGAAUAAAAUGUUCCACGUGUGGGAUUUUGUAUGUACCAUAUGAAUAAGGAUCGGCUAACUCCGUGCCAGCAGCCGCGGUAAUACGGAGGGUCCGAGCGUUAUCCGGAUUUAUUGGGUUUAAAGGGAGCGUAGGUGGAUGGUUAAGUCAGUUGUGAAAGUUUGCGGCUCAACCGUAAAAUUGCAGUUGAAACUGGCAGUCUUGAGUACAGUAGAGGUGGGCGGAAUUCGUGGUGUAGCGGUGAAAUGCUUAGAUAUCACGAAGAACUCCGAUUGCGAAGGCAGUUCACUGGACUGCAACUGACACUGAGGCUCGAAAGUGUGGGUAUCAAACAGGAUUAGAUACCCGGGUAGUC